rnacentral:lncRNA from 1 species
CGUUCAGGAAAAGCAUAUGACCUAAAUAAGGUUUUAAUGCAUCCAAACUAUACAAUUACACCAGAGGGCCGUAUCAAUGAUCUGGCAAUCAUAAAAGUGAUGACGGAAUUUGAAUUUCAAUCAACCAUCCAACCUAUUUGUUUACCGUUUUUUAAAUCUUCAAUUCCCGAUAUAGGAUCUACUAUUGUAGGUAGCGGAUGGGGUCGAAAGAGAUAUACUGACACUAAAUGUAGUCCUAAACUUUUGAGAGGCGACAUGCAAGUCUACAGUUUUCAAAGAUCAAAUUGCCCAAGAGGAAUACUAUCAUAUGCUCCGGAAAACUCAAUCCUUUGCGUUCAUACUCCAUCAUCUUGUACUUGCCAAAGGGGAUUCAGGGGGUCCACUAACAAUGGAAGUGAAUGGAAUAUGUACAUUAGUAGGGGUUACUUCUCAGGGGUAUAAAUGCGGAGAGAUAGGUUAUGGUGCCAUGCAUACGAAUGUUUCAGCCUUUUGGACUGGAUCCUUGAAAAUAUACAUGAACGUUGCUGAUAACUAUUAGUCAAAUGAAACUAGUUGAAUUUGUCAUAUGAGGGAUUUUUUUAUUAAUUUUUUUUUACAUAUAUUUUCUUUUGUUUUAACGUAUUAUAUGACUCCGCUUUCUACAUAAAUCUUUGUAGAAGUCGCACCUAUGUCAUGCUUAAUUAUUAAAGUUGUAAAUGGUAAGCGGUAUAUACAAAAAUAAACAUACUAACUUUGACAAUUUGAAGAAUGCUUUGAAGGGGAAUAGUCAUGUCGGUUCAAGAAUUAGCUACUAGCAGUCAUAAAAGAAACAAAGUAAACAUAAGUCCCACUCUGUAUUUGGCAAACUUUAAUAUACUAUCUCAUCCAUAAAUUUUUACAUUAAUAAUGCAAAGUCGUACUCUCGGGUUUUUAUAAUAACAUUAAUUCUUGCUAACUUCAAUUUAGAAGGAUGUUUCACUGCGGGAAUCAGGGCUUUUCAUAAAGUAACAUAUCUUCAACUUAAGAGCAUCUAACGAGUAAAAUAUAAUUAAUGGAUGUAUACCUAAAAUACGUUACCGGGUGUACUGUAUAUAGUGCUCCCUGAUUCACAUAACAAUAUACUAUAAAGUGAAAAAAAGCGAAUCUAAUAUAUUACUAUAAAAGCCGGAAGUACUAUCACAUUCAAUUACAAAAUGAAUGGGACUUUUAAUAAGGUAAAGCAACGAGAUAAAGUACUCCCUGGGCCAUCAAUUCAUAUUAUGCUCACGAAAAACGAAGUUUAACACCAAGGAUUUGUUGGGAUUUUUUCGACCUCUAAUAACUCCAGUACCAUAUGUCCGCCUCCCACCUUCUUCCCACACUCUUUUUUCGCUAUAAAGAUAUUAAUCAGUGAUAAAAAUCCUGUGUAUGAUGGGAAUGCAGAAAAAAAGAAACCGAAAAUCAAUAUUGUAUCACUGACAAUUUGAAGAGUGUUUUAGAGGAGAGAGGGAAUAACGCUCAUGGCUUUUCAUUAUAUCAGCUAUAAUCAGUUGUGACAAAAGAGAGGAAGCAAAAAAGGAUAUAAACAAGGACAUUAUCAAAAAUUACUCCGAUGUCGAUCCUCAAUUCUAUAGUAAGUCCAACAAGGACUUAUAAUUAUAAAUCUGCAACAAAUCCUCAAUUCUUUUAUGCAUACCCAAUCCCCAAUAUGCACAGGAUUUUCAUCACUGAUUAUAUCCCAGUCCGUUGACUCUUCCUUUUUUUUUUUGUUCUUUCCAUUUAUAUUUUAUUGUUGCAUGGAAAUCAGACAUGCUGAAUCCAAAAUACUUCCAAUAACAGCCAUAAACUCAAAUCAAUAACUAAAUAAAUACAGAGUUGAAAAAAUCUAAAAGUUAUUUGAAGGGAGGAUAAAAAUGUUUCAUUUUACUACAAUUUGUUAGAAAAUAUUUGAAACUCUAAACCAAGGAUUUUAGACGUUACCAAUUGGUCCAUUUAGAUCUGAAUACUUUGAACUUUAAACUUCAACAAGAUAUAAUUU